AUUGAACGCUGGCGGCAUGCCUUACACAUGCAAGUCGAACGGCAGCACGGGGGCAACCCUGGUGGCGAGUGGCGAACGGGUGAGUAACAUAUCGGAACAUACCCUAGAGUGGGGGAUAACGUAGCGAAAGCUACGCUAAUACCGCAUACGAUCUAAGGAUGAAAGUGGGGGAUCUUCGGACCUCAUGCUCAUGGAGUGGCCGAUAUCUGAUUAGCUAGUUGGUGAGGUAAAAGGCUCACCAAGGCGACGAUCAGUAGCUGGUUUGAGAGAACGACCAGCCACACUGGAACUGAGACACGGUCCAGACUCCUACGGGAGGCAGCAGUGGGGAAUUUUGGACAAUGGGGGCAACCCUGAUCCAGCAAUGCCGCGUGAGUGAAGAAGGGCCUUCGGGUUGUAAAG
rnacentral:rRNA from 1 species